GUGUGAUUUACCGUGUUCUGUGACUUCGUUUGAGUUUUGAAAAAAGCGAGAAGCUGCAGCCUUUAAAAAUCACCUAAUGGCAUACUUUGACUUUUUGAGGGUCAGACACUUAUACUCCGGCCAUUUGGGU
rnacentral:ncRNA from 1 species